GGCUUAAUUACUCUUUUGGUCCCUUAACUUAUUUUUUGAUUUCGUUUUGGUUCCUUAACUUAUUUUUUGGUUUCCUUUUGGUCCCUUAACUCUAAUACAUUCAUCCUAACAUAAAGGACCAAAGUGGUUAACGGAGGAAGAGUUAAGGGACCAAAACGAAACCAAAAAGUAAGUUAAAGGACCAAAACAAAACUUUUAAUAGUUAAGGGA
rfam:Medicago truncatula strain A17 chromosome 3, whole genome shotgun sequence.